rnacentral:rRNA from 1 species
AGUUACAUUAUUUUUUUUNNAAAAAAUCUGAUCCCCUUGAUAACUGAUCUUAUGAUUCAGAAGUUAAGCAGGUGCAGGUUUGUUUGGCACCUGGAUGGGAGAUCAUAUCGGAAUAACAAGUGCUGUAGGCU